AUGAUGAUGGUACAUUGUACAGACGGUGAAAGAUGGAAACAAAUUGAUUUUGAUAAGCAAGGAGCGUAUUUAUUUAAAUAGGUGAAGAUAAAGAAGUGAGCGCAUAAUGCAUUGUGCUCAUGGGUGAGGGCGUAUAGCGUGCAUCGCGGGGAGUUGAAGAGUAUAUUCAUUGUGAAAAAGCUUCAUUUGAGACACGUGGCGAAAAGUUUUGCACUGAAGGAGCAGCCGUCCGUCACUGGUGGGGAGAUCGGUUCAGAAGAAGCACACAGAAAAGAGGAAAAGGACACACAAAGUAAAAGAAGGUUUGAAAAAGAAGAGAAAGAUGGCAAACCUGGAGGAGAUUGAGUUGGCAAAUGAAUGGUGAAAGAUGAUUGAUGGUGAAGGUGCAAAUUGCAAGCAAGCAGCUGGCUGGCUGGAAGGAGAAUAGAAUGAAUGUUUUGACAACCACCA
rnacentral:lncRNA from 1 species